GCUUUCGCGUUGUCCUCUCGGAGCGCUCCCGUGCCACCUUCAGUUCUAGUAGCUGUAGUUUCCUCCGCAUUGCUCUGUUUUCUUUUUGGCUUUUAGUUAUUUCCAAACGAAACACUGCAUAGUCGUCGUCUACGAGUUUACAGAUCUCUGCCACGGCUGCAUUUGCUAGCAUCUCCAUGAUGGAGGCUAUUUGAGUGUGAAAAAACAUACAGUUAGCCAUUGUUAGCGUUAACUAUAAAAUAUCAACCAAGUCCUGUCUACAACGAGAAUGAAAUACUACCUGAUGUUUAACAGGAUUCCUAGGACCUUUUCUGAGAUGAUUUGUGGAUACAGGCCCUGAUUGGCUGAUAGAAUCGUCAACAACAACAAAAAGGCACAUGGUAUUCAACCUGUCAGUUGGAGCUGGACCCUGAAAGCCUGUCAGUUGGAGCUGGACCCUGAAAGCCUGUCAGUUGGAGCUGGACCCUGAAAGCCUGUCAGUUGGAGCUGGACCCUGAAAGCCUGUCAGUUGGAGCUGGACCCUGAAAGCCUGUCAGUUGGAGCUGGACCCCGAAAGCCUGUCAGUUGGAGCUGGACCCCGAAAGCCUGUCAGUUGGAGCUGGACCCCGAAAGCCUGUCAUUUGGAGCUGGACCCCGAAAGCCUGUCAGUUGGAGCUGGACCCCGAAAGCCUGUCAGUUGGAUCUGAAGCUGGACCCCAAAAGCCUGUCAGUUGGAUCUGAAGCUGGACCCCGAAAGUGACAAACUUCCACAAGUCUCAAGAAGAUGCAGGGCGAGAGGGGUAUACUACGAAGCAAGCUAGAUCUACUCACAGUUUUCUAAAGUUAGCUAGCUUCACUUCGCAUCCAAUUCAAGCUCGUUCAUCUGUACUAUGACAUUGGAUAUUGCUCAUCUGCCUGCCGCUAACUCUAGCAGGUUUGUAACUGCACGUGCAUGUUGCUCAUGGCUACUCCAACGCUAAACUCUUUAUUUAGACAAUGCUGAAACAUCAAUCCUUGGGGAAGUCUCUGCCUAAUUUUCAUUUAGUGCCGAAAUCAAAAUUAAAGCAAAGUUAUCUUGCCAAUUCAAUAGGCUAGAGUGUGAAAUAGGCUUUUAGAAGUGCUGUCUUUAUUUUAUUAUUUUGGUGUGCUUAUCAAUGCACAAGCAUAUUUUCCCCCACUCCUAUCGAUACAAUAAUUGUAUUAAGUCAUACAAAAGUUACUGUGCGUAAAGUUUCAAAUACAUUUGAUGUGAUUAUGUAUUUUAACAUUACUAUAUUUUAACACAUUUGAUUAAUACAAUAUUUAAAUGAGUUUUCCUGUGAAGUUGAUGAUGACGAAAUCUUUGUGAAAGGGAGGGAUUCUGAUUUCAUUGGUCCUCAACUCGCGGCUCAGACACCUCAUUCAAGAUAAAUGUAGUUCGUUUGCCGAUAGUGAUGGAAUUUAGCUUUACGAGUGUUUUAACGAUGCAUCUUUCCGAAUAAUGUAACAUCCGUUUCCCAAAACACCCCGCAGAGAGAAUGGUCGCUAAGUGCAUCGUUGGAGCAUGUGUCGAUACUGAUUGGGCGGAAAGAAAUUAAGCGCUGUGCUCGGAUCAGCUUUCUCAAUUCAUAUCUUACUUUAACAUUAAGACUAUUUCGCAAUACUGAUGACGGAUCAGCUCCUAGAGAAAUUUGACCACCUACGGCUGCAAAUAUUGACGCUGCUUUUCUAAUGCUUACCCAAUCAAAAUGCAUUAAAUCGCCGAUUUGGCGCACGUUAGCAAAUAGCAAAAUAGAACAAUUGAUUGCAUGUAUAGCCCUAUAGCCUGCUUUUUUUUAUGCAGUCAUCUCGGAUUUGAUUUGAAUCAUUUUUAUACGUCGCUUGUUUGUAUAAAUUGCAAAGACAUUGGCAACUUUGUAAUAGUAGUCAACUUUUGUCACAGAGCUACACCACGUGAUUCUAUGUUUAGCUGAGAUUUUCUGUGUAUAAAGCGAAGCGGGAGGGCAAAAAAGCAUCGAAGGACGCACUUAGUUAUUCUAUAGACCACUCGUAGAACAGCCACGUAAUGACUCGGGACGUCGGGUUUGAAAUGAAAGCUUAUUUUAGUAAUACAACUUGUUCACGUUACAUUUAACAACUUUAGAUUCUACAAAACAAUAACAUUAAGUUGCUAUCGAAAAUCAGGAUAAUCACAUAACUGGCGCGUUCUCUCGCUACCUCCUGUCGCAAGGCAUUCUGGAACUUGUAGUCAAUGGCGUAAUCCAAUACAACACAUAUGUAUGUGGUUCUCUCAAUCUCCAACACACGAAUUCUAAUACAAUUACAUAUGUAAAUAACUCUUAACGAAAAUAUCUGUAGAUAAAGCUCAAUCAAUUAAGUGUAAACAUUAACUCUGUAAUCCAUUAAAGUUACAAAUUGGUCUAAGAUCUAAGACGUUAGAUUACAAUCAUUUUGAAAUGCAACGUUAAUAACGAUGGUUUUGGAAACAGCGCGGAGAUUUACCGGGUCGCCUACGAAGGUUCUAACGAUGCACUUAGCCUUAAGAUGCUCUUGGAAAACCAGACCAGGGUUCGUUCUGAAGGAUUCAUUACCAUAGAAAUGUACCUGGCUAAAAGCUAAGCCAUUUUCGUUGUACAUAUUAUUCCGAGUUGACCAAAGUUACCUCGCUAACUCCUCAAACUACAUUUGUAGUAGUAUAGCGCUCUGAGCAGCCUGUUUGUAUGGUGGACCAAACUGGCCUAUAGGCUUUAGUUUUUGAGAUGCCCCAUACCCGAGGUGGAGCAAAAUACAACCAUGUCUUCCAUCUCCCAUGUAUGAAAUGUUCUAUCCUACACAGUACACACACAAUAUGAAAUACUUUUUAGGUUUAUGACAAAAUGUCUGGAUGCAAUAUUCUAUCCAGGAAUAUCCAACACUGAAAUCUGUUACUCUCAUUAUUCCAAAUGUAUCGUUGGACAUUUUCUGCUGACAACAAUGAAAAUGAAUCUUUGUCUUUAAAGGGUAGGAAGCAUGAGUUUACUCAAAGUAACAACGUAGUGUGGUCACAUUUAGUCAUGGUGUGGUUACCUAUAACUCCAAAAAUAGUUAUGUUUUGAAAUAUUUACGAUUAUUUUCAGAUAUCUUUCGGAGCAAACCCAAAAUGCACUAUUGUCAGCGUCAUAUGGAAAACCGGCGCUACCUAGCCAGCUCAAUCUGGCUAACAUUAAAUUCAAUACCAAGUGUUGGCGAGCUCUAUGUACAUCCACAAAGAAGUAACUAUAUAAAUUCAUGCGGAAAAACUGCAUAUCCUCUUCUCCUGUGCGUGGUAGUCGAGCGUUUGUAGUAGUUUUCCAUCGUCCGUAGCUAGUGCAGUAAUACCUACAAGGACUGGGUUACGAGUCAUUUGUGACCCAAAAACGAGAAGCUAGCUUUGAAAUGGGAUCGGUUUGUCCGGUUGAAGCGAGCACUUCUAAUGUAUGCGGUGCUCAUUUCACCCCGGAGGACUUCAAAGGCUUAGUUUAAGCAGUGGAAUGCAAGAUUCGGAAUGAGACGGAAACCAGGUGCUGUGCCGAGUGUGAAUGUGAAGCCUGCAAUCUGUUUCCUACCGACCUACCAGUACAUCGCAAGUGUCAGCAGUGAUGGAGAUAAACCGGCUAUUCAAUGUGGAUUUACCACACUAAAUCACUAUUGGAUUAGCUGACUCUCCCUCUAAAGGCCUCUCCUUGGCUCUUCUUUGGUAGCUAACUCAACCGUAAAUCGGUAAAUUUAAUCUCUCUCUAAUUUAUAUCUGCUUGAUUUUAUGUGAAUUCCUGCCUAUGCUAGACUAGUUGUUCUUACUACUUAGCUAUGUAGACCGUGGUGGUUUGCAAGCUAUGGCUAGUUAUCUGGCUAGGCUAGCUAGCAGGCUAAAAUAACCAACUUUAGCUGGCUGGCUAACAUACCUGCAUAUCAGUGGAGGCUUGUGACUUGAAAAAUUGAGGAGGAUGGGAGAACCACGGUAUAGACGUGGAACGCACAGAGACAUCAAAGCUAUUUUAUUUGUAUUUUUUUAAAUGUCAGACUUUUAACCUGUUAUGUUCUAAUUCUCAGAGUAAAAAACUCAAUGGACAUUUAUGAAAGCUUAACCAAGUUAAUUCUGCUCAAAGGGUCAAUACAGCUGAAUUCCGACAAAAACUUUUUCAACCACCACAAGUAUAUAUGCCCUUGCCCUCCAAAUACACCUCCUCUGUUUUCAAUCAGGAUCUCAGCGAUUGGAAAGCUGCCCGCGCGGUCAUCCCCCUCUUCAAAGGCGGUGACACCAUAGACCCAAACAGUUACAGACCUAUAUCCAUCCAUCCUGCCCUGCCGAUCUAAAGUCUUCAAAAGACAAGUUAAUAAACAGAUCACUGACCAUUUUGAAUCCCACU